rnacentral:siRNA from 1 species
UUAGGUCCGUCCCAUUUAAAGCCU